rnacentral:rRNA from 1 species
UCAAACAAGGAAAGGCUUACGGUGGAUACCUAUGUACCCAAAGAUGAGGAAGGGCGUAAUAAACGAUGAAAUGCUUCGGGGAGUUGAAAAUAAGCGUAGAUCCGGAGACUCCUGAAUAAGUCAACCUUCCAAACUAUUGUUGAAUCCAUGGGCAGGUAAGAGACAACCUGGUGAACUGAAACAUCUUAGUAGCAAGAGGAAAAGAAAGCAAAAGCGAUUCCCAUAGUAGUGGCGAGCGAAAUGGGAGCAGCCUAAACCAUGAAAAUAGGGUUGGGGGAUAGCAAUACGAACGUCAUGCUGCUACGCGAAGCGGUGGAGUGCUGCACCCUGUAUGGAGAGAGUCUAGUAGUCAAAAGUACGCUCUAACCCAAGUAGCAUGGGACAUGUGGAAUCCCAUGUGAAUUAGCAAGGACCACCUUGCAAGGCUAAAUACUCCUCGGUGACCGAUGGUGAAGUAGUACCGUGAGGGAAGGGUGAAAAGAACCCCCAUCGAAGAGUGAAAUAAAGCUUGAAACCAUAAGCUCCCAAGUAAUGGGAGGAGACCAGGGCUCUGUCCGUGUGCCUGUUGAAGAAUGAGCCGACGACUUAUAGGUAAUGGCUUAGUUAAGGGAACCCACCAAAGCCUUAGCGAAAGUGAGGCUUCAUAGGGCAAUUGUCACUGCUUAUGGAUCCAAACCUGGGUGAUCUAUCCAUGACUAGGAUGAAGCUUGGGUGAACCGGACCAACUGAUGUUGAACAAUCAGAGGAUGAGUUGUGGUUAGGGGUGAAAUGCCACUCGAACACACACCUAGCUGAUUCUCCCUGAAAUGCAUUGAGGUGCAGCAGUUGACUGGACAUCUAGGGGUAAAGCAUUGUUUCAUUGCAGGCCACGAGAGAGGUACCAAAUCGAGGCAAACUAUAAAUACUAGAUAUGACCUCAAAAUAAUAGGGGUCAAGGUCGGCUUGUGAGACGAUGGGGGAUAAGCUUCAUCGUCGAGAGGGAAACAACCCGAAUCACUAGUUAAGGCCCCUAAAUGACUGCUCAAUGAUAAAGAAGGUAAGGUACAGAGACAGCCAGGAGGUUUGCCUAGAAGCAACCACCUUUGAAAGAAAGCAGAAUAGCUCACUGAUUGAGCACUUUUAUGCCGAAGAUGAAUGGGCUAGGCAAUCUGGCAAAGCUGUGGGAUGUAAAAAUGCAUCGGUAGAGAAGCAUUCCACCUAGAGGGAAGCACCCAUGCAAGCAGUGGUAGAUGAAGCGGAAGCAAGAAUGUCGGCUUGAGUAACACCAACAUUGGUGAGAAUCCAAUCCCAUUAUAACCUAAGAGUUCCCCCACAAAGUUCAUCCACAGAGGGUGAGUCAGGACCUAAGAUUAGGCCGAAAGGCAUAGUCGAUGGACAACAGGUGAAUAUUUCUGUACUACCCCUUGUUCGUCCCGAGGGACAGAGGAGGCUAGGUUAGCCAAAAGAUGGUUAUCAGUUCAAGGAUGCUAGGUGCCCUACCUUUUUAGGGUAAGAAAGGGUAGAUAAAAUGCCCCGAGCCAAUGUUCAAGUACCAAGCGCUACGGCGCUGAAGUAACCUAUGCCAUACACCUAGGAAAAGCUCGAACGACCUUCAACAAAAGGGUACCUGUACCCAAAAUUGGCACAGGUGGGUAGGUAAAGAAUACCUAGGUGUGUGAGAGAACUCUCUCUAAAGAACUCAGCAAAAUAGACCCGUAACUUCGAAGAAGGGGUGCCUCCUCACAAAAGGGGUCACAGUGACCAGGCUCGAGUGACUAUUUACCAAAAGCACAGGUCUCCGCAAAGUCAUCAGACCAUGUAUGGGGGCUAACGCCUGCCCAGUGCUAGAAGGUAAAGGAAGUUGGUGACCUGACGAUACGACAGCCAGCGACCGAAGCCUUGGUGAACAGCGGCCGUAACUAUAACGGUCCUAAGGUAGCAAAAUUCCUUGUUGGGUAAGUUUCGACUUGCAUGAAAGGCGUAACGAUCUGGACACUGUCUCGGAGAGAGGCUUGGUGAAAUAGACAUGUCUACGAAGAUGCGGACUACCUGUGCCUGGACAGAAACACCCGAUGAAGCUUCACUAUUUCCUAAGGUUGGCUUUGGGCCUUUCCCAUAUAGCUUAGGUGGAGGACAAAGAAGGCCUCCUUCAGGGGGGCCCAAGCCAUCAAUGAGAUGCCAUUCUCAAAGAGCUAGAAUUCUAACCUUGUGUUAAGACCUACGGGCUAAGGGACAGUCUUAGGUAGACAGUUUCUAUGGGGCGUAGGCCUCCCUAAAGGUAAUGAACACAUGCAAAAGUUUCCUCCGGCCAGAUGGAGAUUGGCCCUUGAGUGCAAAGCUAGAAGGAAGCUUGAUUCCAAAACCCACCCAUCGAGUAGGGAUGAAAGUCGACCUUAGUGAUCCGAUGGUGAUGAGUGGAAGGGCCGUUGCUCAACUGAUAAAAGUUACUUUAGGGAUGAUAGGCUGAUCUUCCCCAAAAGCUCACAUCGAGGAGAAGGUUUGGCACCUCGAUGUCAGCUGUUCGACACCUGGGGCUAUAGUAUGCUCCAAGGGUUGGGUUGUUCGCCCAUUAAAGUGGUACAUGAGCUAGGUUCAGAACGUCAUGAGAUAGUUCGGUCUAUAUCCAGUGUGGUUGUUCGAGCAUUGAAAGGACCUUUCCUUAGUACAAGAGGAUCAGGAAGGACACACCUCUGGUGCACCAGCUAUUGUGCCCACAGUAAAUGCUAGGUAGCCAAGUACGGAGCAGAUAACUGCUGAAAGCAUCUAAGUAGUAAGCCCACCCUAAGAUGAGUGCUCUCCUAAUACAACUUCCUCAGAGCUUCCAGUAGCACAGCCAAGACAGCGAUGGGUUUUCUGCCUAUGCGGGGGUGGAGCGACAUAAUUUUUGAGAAUUCAAGAGAAGAUCAUGGCGAGAUGAGCCAUUUAUCAUUACGAUAGGUGUCAAGUGGAAGUGCAGCGAUGUAUGCAGCUGAGGCAUCCUAACAGACCGGUAGACUUGAAUCA